ACGUUGCGCUGCUGUUUUAUUAGUUUUAUGCUUUUCCAAUGCAUUUAGACUUACGGAGCAGCAGUAGAUGGAGAAUGAAAGCCCAAAAGGCAGUGGUUUCAAAUUUGAAUGAAGCUUACUGCAAGAGAAGGUUUUAACAUUA